rnacentral:rRNA from 1 species
CACAUGCAGUCGAACGAGACCUUCGGGUCUAGUGGCGCACGGGUGCGUAACGCGUGGGAAUCUGCCCUUGGGUACGGAAUAACUCAGAGAAAUUUGUGCUAAUACCGUAUAAUGUCUUCGGACCAAAGAUUUAUCGCCCAAGGAUGAGCCCGCGUAAGAUUAGCUUGUUGGUGAGGUAAAAGCUCACCAAGGCGACGAUCUUUAGCUGGUCUGAGAGGAUGAUCAGCCACACUGGGACUGAGACACGGCCCAGACUCCUACGGGAGGCAGCAGUGGGGAAUAUUGGACAAUGGGCGAAAGCCUGAUCCAGCAAUGCCGCGUGAGUGAUGAAGGCCUUAGGGUUGUAAAGCUCUUUUACCCGGGAUGAUAAUGACAGUACCGGGAGAAUAAGCUCCGGCUAACUCCGUGCCAGCAGCCGCGGUAAUACGGAGGGAGCUAGCGUUGUUCGGAAUUACUGGGCGUAAAGCGCGCGUAGGCGGUUUUUUAAGUCAGAGGUGAAAGCCCAGUGCUCAACACUGGAACUGCCUUUGAAACUGGAAAACUUGAAUCUUGGAGAGGUCAGUGGAAUUCCGAGUGUAG